rnacentral:rRNA from 1 species
CCUACGGGUGGCAGCAGUGAGGAAUAUAGGUCAAUGGGCGCGAGCCUGAACCAGCCAUGUAGCGUGAAGGAUGACUGCCCUACGGGUUGUAAACUUCUUUUAUAAAGGAAUAAAGUGAGGCACGUGUGCCUUUUUGUAUGUACUUUAUGAAUAAGGAACGGCUAACUCCGGGCCAGCAGCCGCGGUAAUACGGAGGAUCCGAGCGUUAUCCGGAUUUAUUGGGUUUAAAAGGAGCGUAGAUGGGUUGUUAAGUCAGUUGUGAAAGUUUGCGGCUCAACCGUAAAAUUGCAAUUGAUACUGGCAGGCUUGAGUACAGUUGAGGUAGGCGGAAUUCGUGGUGUAGCGGUGAAAUGCUUAGAGAUCACGAAGAACUCCGAUUGCGAAGGCAGCUUACUAAACUGCCACUGACAUUGAUGCUCGAAAGUGUGGGUAGCAAACAGGAUUAGAUACCCGGGUAGUC